rnacentral:tRNA from 1 species
GCCUCUGUGGCGGAAUUGGCAGACGCGCUGGACUCAAAAUCCAGUUCUCGCAAGAGAGUGCCGGUUCGACCCCGGCCGGAGGCA